rnacentral:lncRNA from 1 species
GGGAAGAAGGAUCCAUUCCAACACCACCAUGUCCUUUGAUUGGGUGAGCCAACACGCCCUUCUCGUUUUGGUGCUCUUCAAGUAGGAAUCAGAUACUCGCUUAUCGUAAUUUUUAAUGACUUUGCUCUGACCCAUCCGUUCUCGAUUACUUGUAACUGCAAUCAAUCUUGAGCGUCACUCUUCAAUGCUGGAUGAUCUUCCAUCAUCUUUGCAGUGUUCAAUACAGGUUCCAACAACGACAACUACAAUGUCGCGUACGUGUCAAAAGACAAUAAUGACAACUGCAACACCGCUUCUCCGUUCACCACAGCAACAGACUGACGGCCUUUUUUGUCGCUGCAGCUGGCGAGUAUUGCUCGCAUCUACACUUUCCUAAAGGUGUCCAUUGCUCUCGUGGCCAAAAAUUGGUGGUCACCAUUAGUGAAACUUCCAUUGGCCCAACCUCUAGUCCAGCGGGAUCUCUGUCACUACUAGACACAACCACCGGCAACACCACAUCUCCACCACCACCUGGAAGUGAUGCUUCAUCUCUCGAUGUCACACAGCAUUGGGAUUUGGCGGCAACUUUUCUCAACAAGGUCAAGCGGCUUUUCCAAAUUUGUCACCUGAGUUCAAAAUCUCAUUGUUGUGCCGUUUUCAAACUGACAAUUCCCAUUGGCUGGUCUAUCUUUGCCAUUGCCACCAGGUACUUGGAAACAACCACUAAGGAGAGAUGCUUCUCAGCUUCCUAAAAUGGUAAUAUAGAAGUAAGAGGUUAAGACGAUAGAAUAUCAUACCAGCGUGUAUAAUUAUCAUUAUAUGGUCUGUCUGUCAAUUGAUAGUGUUGAUUUAAUGUGAUUGAUUUAAGCUCUUAACAACAGAGUAGGAGAACCCAAACACAAAGCUCUUCUUCAAGUGAUUCAGCUACAAAGAUUUUCUGUACACAUUAAUCAAGAUCUCUAGCAAGAUAUACUUUUGUAACACAGGAAAUGGUGAGUGUCAAUACCAGCAGGAAAAGCUCACUCAGCUAUUUCUAGCAACAUAGCAGAGCUCCUCCCACGCUUCUAAAGUGCAUUAAGGAUUCAAGUUCCAUGAGACAAGAAAUGGUUUCACAAUGCCAAACAAUGAUGCUUACAGCUACAACAAAUUUAUGAGCAGAAGUUGAUUAAGCCAAAAAAAAAAAAAAAAGAGUACACAUAUAUGUCGGCCAGAAUGUUUACAGAACAAAACGAUGAAGACAGCAUUCUCGAAUCCAUGACAAAUCUUUGGCUUUCAACACACCAAAACCUCUUUUAUACAUAUUAGGAACUUGUAUCCAAGUCCAGCAGCCAUGCCCCAAUCAGGGAUCAUAGGCAGAGAAGCUGCUUAGGGUUAAAUGAGGGGUCUAGGCAAUCAUUCAUAAAGUGUGACACUGAUAAAGAACAUCAACAAAUGUUCCACAUAAUCAGACCUGGAUACUGAGGCAUAAUAGCUUUGCGGGUCUCUUGAAGGUAAUCCUUGAGCGAUACUUCAAAACAACGAUAAUAUUCUGCAGAAAACAGAUUGAAUCACAUUUGAGUGCUGUUCCAAUGAAAAGAAGAAAAACGACAAGUUCUGUAAUUACAUGUUCAAUGAUUCUCUGAAGAGGCUCCUAGAAAGGUAGCUUGUUAUGCCAAAGAGAAGCCAAAAUUCUUCUUUUGACAAUGAUUGGGCCCUGUCUAAUUCCCAACAAGUGCACCUGCUAGCACGUUUUCUCAUUCUCAAAUUCACCUUUGAAAGUUCUUUUAAAGAGGAGUCCGCUGGAGCCUCCAAUGUGACCAAUUGUUUCAGCAGCAACCUACAUUAAAAUAUCAAAGGUAUGGUCGACCAAAUCCUAUGGCACAUUAUUGAGAUAUUGCAAGAUCUACAAUCAAUUACCUAGCACAAUUCAAAGAUGGUACCUGAAUUGGGGAAUUUCUGAGAGAUGUUUUUCCUCUAAAGUUGCAUUAAGAAGGCUUAAUUGCAUAGGAUCAUGUGGUGAUAGAACUAAGUACCAGCAGAUUUUCCUUAGAACCUGCAUUUAAUUAAAUCACAUUAUGAACAGCUCUACCUUCAAAAACUCAGUGAAUACUUAACAAGGAAAGAGCUUCACCCAUAUCCACUGCUCUGGGUUGGGUUGCCCUUUACUGAUGGAAUCUCAUAUUAGCCCCUUAUGGUAUUGACAAAUCUCAAGGCAAUCAUUGUUAUGUGAGUAAUGCCUACAUUGUUAUCCACAUAAAUGUGAGGUAACUUGAGAUGAGAGUUCAAAUCCAUACAAGUUCAUAUUCUAGAAAGAGUUUGCGAUACAGCUAGAAAGAAAGAAGAGUGUGUGCCAGAUAUAUAAAGCCAUACAAGUUCAUGGUGAACCACAACCUGAAUACCAGGUGGCAUUUGAUCAGCAAAAACAAAUUAGUCAAAGAUAGUGGACACAACAUUCGAAAAGCAAAACACCAAUUUACCAUAUCAUGAGUCAUUGUCUAUCCGUUUCAACUCCAGAAGAGAUGGAAUACAGCUGACGCUUGCUCCACGAUGUUUUCACCUUCUUUAGACUUUUUCUUUUCUAUGGAAGGAUCUGCAUCAAACACUCGGGAGUUAACCUUCCUGGAAAUGAUACGUGCACAGACAUAACCCUUACACAGACGAACCUGCAAAAUCCAUCAAUCAGAAAACCAAUCAUACUAAUAAUGCAUGAAUGGCUAAAAGCAAUACAAAAGACCCGCACUUGUUCAAAAAUAAAGGCAAUUUUCUCCGUCUUUGCCUUUGCUCCAAGAGUUCCUACCUGCAUUUCAAACUAUCAUAGGAAUGUAGGACAAGGGAAAACCAAUUACAAGAUCAGUGAGAACAGAAGUCAACUUCUAGUUACCCACAUUUCUUGCAUCAAAUCAGUAAUGCUAGAAGACCCUGUUUUUCCUUUAUUUUUGCAAGUUUCUUGAACAAUCAUGCUCUCUCAAUUUCAAAGUAUAACUACAUUACGAAACUAGCUACAGAAAUCAUGAAAUAAAAGCAGAUUGCUGAUGAACAUAAGCUGCACCAGAGUUUGAUUUCACAUAUUCAUCUUCCCAGCGGCAACAUAGUUAAGUGUCUUAAUAAGCUUUAUCUUGGUCUCAAGAUCAAGUGUAUGGCCAACAUAUUGCACAGCUUGCUGCACCAUUGCUGUUGCAGCCUAUCAUGACAAAGAUGCGACACAUAGGUCACUAUCCGAUCAAGUCAAUGACUUGAUUACGUCUAGAUCACCAUUAAAACUUUGAUUUGAACUAUUUGAUUAACAGCAUGGAAAAUUUGUCACUCUGGAAUGAUAAUAUUGUCAAAAGAGGAACCAAAAGGGACAAUAGCAAGGUACAAUACAAAUACAGGUAUCUAUGAAGAGGAUCCCCGCCACUUGAAAACUUGAAAACAGUAUAAGAUCCCCAUAAAGGAUAUGUCAUCAAAUGUAUCCUGAACUAGACAUGAAAAAGAAUUAAUGCGAUUCAUAAAUAAAUAGGCGAACAAAAAGUAAAAAUUUGGGGCAAUCAUGGGAGAGAAUCCAAAAACAGAAGGUGAGAAACCGAAGAGGAUUCCACAAUAUUAGAUUCUAGACCACAAGCACCAGGCCUGAGAUCUUACAUCCCAACAGAUUGCCUAGAGUCAACUCCCAUGUCGAUAUGCCAAGCACAUUCCUUUUUUAGAUAGUUCUACAUAGAUGGCAUGUCACAGCUACACGAAACGACAUUUCAUGAUCGCACACAAAUGGGAGGCAAUCCUUGUAGUAUAAAAUCUAACCCUUAAGCUUAAGGUUGUUAAGAUUGAUCCGAAAAUGAUUGAAAUUGGACUUUGGAUCAAUGAUCAUAAGACUACAGAAAAUUAAGGUCUAAAAGUGAUAGAAUCUUUAUCUUUUCUUCUACACUAACACCUGUAUGUUGUCUUUGAAAAAAGGGAAUGAAGUUCAAAAGUAGAAGAUAAAAGCAAGAGCAUCACCACAGCAGAAGAAGCAGAUCAAUGAAGAAACUCUCAUGCCUAUUAGAGAAAGUCAACUAGAGAAGCAUAUGGGGCAUGAGUAAAGAAGAGAAUAAAACAAACGCAAAACCAGAUAAUGGCAAUGAAAAGAAGAAGAGAGGAGGAUGAAAAAAAUAGAAAAGGCAAAGAGGUAUGUGCUACUCUGUAAAAAAGAAUUCCGUCCCCAACCAGGAAAGAUGGCUGCAGUACAUAGGUGUUGGUAUUGUGCUGCAUUGUUGUCUGUGGACACACAGCAGACCUUUCAUUUACCCCAAUCCAAGUUCUCAUGAAGGUAGAGCCCACUUCCAACUCCACCAAUAAAAGGUUAUUCUUACAUUAGAGAAAAGCUUAUGGAUUCUCCCAAGUCUGUACAGAAAGUAUAUUCAGCCUUGCCACCACCAACAAUUAACCUUCCAUGCAAUCUAAUUCAGGAUGAGGGCAACAUCUCAUUCUUAAUUGAUAAUUCUCUUAUAGUUCAAACCCAAAGUGAGCCCUGAUUAGCAGUUUUGGCGUUUAGAUAUUGUUUUAGACGUACAAUGGGUCAUGCAAAAUAAGAAUUGGAGCCUAAUUUGGUUUACCAUGGGAUUGAGUGCUAAUUAAAUAAGGCAAAGUAGGAUAUUUAGGACCAGGGUUAGAAACCAUUCUACAUCUCCAAUGGGAAUGAUUUUGAUGUGACCAACUUCCAUCGUUUUAAUUGUAUCCCAUAUAGAUAGCAAUCAUAAAUGCAAUUUUCAAGGUAAAAAAAUCUUGUAUAGUUUAUAAUUAACAACCACUAGUCAUAAUGCUCUAGCCAGUCCAGGAGGAACUUAUUAGCAUUCAGCAUAGCAUAACAAUGAAAUACCAUCAAUUUAAGGGCCAAAAUUCCAGCAGCUUAUCAGCCAAAAGCAGAGAUGAAAAGGUACAUAAUUGGACAUAGGUUAACCUCGACAAUCCCAUUCACUCCUAAAAAUAAGUGUAAGAUAUUUCUUUUAGUACAACAAAGUUUGGGAGCAACUAAAUACAGGAAUAACAAUUUAACAUGUAUGAAUGUCCAAGUAUCAGCGUCAUCAAGUACCUGCCAACAUGACACAUGUUGCGUUCAUGCAAGGGAGAAACUCCAGAGCACACCCUAAUUGCAAUGGAGAGGCACAACUCAUAAUCAUAGUUCAUAUUUAAUUGAUCGUAUAAUAGUUUGUCAGAGGUUAGACGAACAUCAAUCCCUGAAUUAGCAUUACCAAUCACUCCCUGGUAGUCAAUCUCAAUUUAUUUUCUCCUUGGUUUCUUUGUUAUGCAAGAAGUAUACUAAGUAAGGCAACGAGGAAAUACCUAUCCAUCUCCAUAAAAGAUAAUGCGAACCCCAAAAACAAAUCUACUAAGUAGAACAAAAAACAAAGAGGAGCCCCAACUCCUGACUUCACGAAACCCUGAAAAGGCGAUAAAACAAAAUAAAACUACUUGACUAAGACAAAGCGCCUUUUUCUCUUUGUCAUCAUAGACCAAGGAUAUUAUCUAAUUUUUCAACCCUUCACUCCCACACGUUUAACUUCAAUUCCAAACAGAGGGUGGGCCCAUCUUGUAAGAGUACAAGUUAAAAGUAUUUUCCUAGAUAGUACCCCAAACAACAAUGUCCAGUUUAUCCAUAGAACUUUGUGCACUACUUUCCUACUAAGCUCAUCCACAUGACACAGCUACUGAGUCCUACCUAUUGAGUUCAGUGUCUCCUCCAAAGCUAAGUGGUCAGGUGCUGAAGACUCACUGAUAUCCUGCCAGAAAGGAUAUCUCCGCAGCUAAUCUCUUCGCUUUAUUACAUAUCUCUCUGUAUACACAUACAGAGGCGCCACCAUUAAACUUCCAUAGGAAUACCAACCCCAACCUUCCUUCCAUCAUCAUUCAAGAAAAAAGAGAAAGAAGAACUACCCACAAAGGCAAAUCAAGCAUUGAAAUUGGAAGGGCGAGCUCGAGGAAUCGGCACAAAAGUCCACGAGCGCCAUCGCUUUGGAGCCCCUCUUCUUCUUUCUAUAAUUGGUCCUUUCCAUUGGAUCUAUCGCAGCAUACCAGAUGAACAGAAACAUCACCGAGAACACCUGAAAAUCGGGGGAAAUAUGUUGGAAAACCCAUCAAUUCCCCAUGACAAAAGAAAAGCAAUCAAUGUCAUCAUGGCACAAAGUAAACGCUAAGGAGUCACCACAAAAGAGUAUAUUGUAGUCAUGGUGAUUCAGCAGCCCCGCUCCCAAGUAACAGUCCCAAGAAGACCUAGAAGGCCACCGCUAGGAAACUGAACAUCGCCAUCCCAACUGUCUGCAAUUGCAAAUUUACAACAUGAGAUCGAUUAACUCUAAACUUCAAAUGUGAUUGAUCGAUCAUCUGCAUCACGCCCUACACAUCCACUCGUGGCUGAUAUAGAGCAUUCAGAACGUCGCCAAUGCAGGAAUUUGACUAAUACGUGCUAGCCCCAGCUCAAAACAGCAAACCUAAGCUCAUGACCUUGGUCAACUCACCAAAUCUUGACAGAACCACGGCAGCCAGCGCGACUUCCAGCUCCAACUGCCUACCCGAUUGCCGCCGAAACUACGGCGCUACCUACUACUGAGCAAACUAAAAUCUCCAAUCCGAAACAAUAACGUCCACCUUAUCCACAGAGCUUUGUGCACUACUUUCCUACUCAGCUCAUCCACAUGCCAUAGCUACUGACUUCUACCUGUUGAGUUUGCGGUCUCCUCCAAAGCUAAGCGGUUAGGCGCUGAAGACUCGCUGAUAUCCUGCCAGAAAGGAUAUCUCCCCAAGGCUAAUCUCUUUGCUUUAUUACAUAUCACUUUGCAUACACAUACAGAGGCGCCACCAUUAAACUUCCACAGGAAUAUCAACCCCCAUCCUUCCUUCCAUCAUCAUUCAAGAAGAAAAAUAGAAAUAAGAAGUAACCAGGUAGGUGAACCAAGCAUCGAAAUUGGAAGGGCGAGCUCGAGGAAUCGGCACAAAAGUCUGCGAGCGCCAUCGCUUCGGAGUCUCUCUUCUUCUUUCUAUAACUGGUCUUAUCAAUCGAAUCUAUCGCAGUACACCAGACGAACAGAAACAUCGCCAAGACACCUGAAAAUCAGGGGAAAUAUGUGGAAAAUCCCAUCAAUUCCCAGCAAACUAAAAUCUCCAAUCCGGACAAUCGAUGAGCUCGCGCGCCGGAGCGACGCGGUUCUAAAAUGCAGAUGAAGCUGAGAGACCACAGGAAAGACGCGUGCGUGCAUUUACUUGGAGCGGAUGGAGAGGGCGUUGCCAGCCGUGGCGUCGCGCCAUCGUCGUCGCCGUCGUCAUCUCCGCCGCGCCGAUCGACCUGCCCGCCUGCCUACGGUGGAUGGGCGGUGGGAACGGUGGCUUCGAUCUUCAGGCCUGGGAAACCACCAGAGCGACUGACUAGUAGCGAGAGAGAGAGAGAGAGAGAGAGAGAGAGAGAGAGAGAGAGAGAGAGAGAGAGAUUCCAUGGAAGUCCAGCCGUCCUUCUCUUCUGCACCGCGUAGCUCCGAGGUCUGCUAACGCUCGAAUAGUAAGCCCCCAAAAUCGUCCCGGGUCUCUUUCAAGCCAAGUUCUCUCAUCUGCGUACGCCUAAAAUUCGACAUGUCGGGCGAUCCUUCGAGAGAUGGGCAUUCAUAUAUACGGAAAUAUCGCAAGUGUUUCAAGUCUGACAAAUUCGGAAAGGCUUUCAAUUUUCUGCACCAUGCAAUAAUAAGGUUCGAUAGUCCAAUGGGAAGCUCUGGGAAAAAUUCAAGCCGAUGGCAAUCAACAAGACCGAGUAUCUUGAGACGGGUUAGCUGGGAAAGAUGGGGCAAAGACUGCCCCUGGUAGGUGAUACAUAGUUCCCUUAAGCCGGAGGGCAAUUCUGGUAAUUCAUGAAGCUUUACACAUUCACUAAAGUAGAGCACCUCUAGCGAAAUAAGUUUGCAUAUAUUACUAGGUAGUCCCUCCAGAUUUUUACAACCGAAAGCUUCCAAAUUUUGCAAUUUUGCCAACAUCCCAAUGUCAUCAGGCAAUUCUGUUAUGCCAGUUUCACUAAUACGUAAGACCUUCAAAUUUUGCAAAUUCCCAAUACUUUUAGGCAAUUUCGUGAUCGAUGUACUUCUUAAGUCAAGCUUGAUCAAUGAUGCCAAAUUUGUAAUAGAAGGAUGAAGCUCUUCUAGAUUCCCACAAUCUCUAAGACUCAAAAUCUCCAACCUUUUGAAAGUGGACAAGUCAGGAGUUCUUUUCAAAAAUCGACACCACUCGAGGUCGAGAACUUUGAGCUCGGUCGCCAUCUAGAAGAAAGAAAGGAUACGUCAGUGUAAUUGGACUGUCACAACCCGUGAUUUUUUGCUACUCCUUAUGUUUUUGACCUUUUAGAUUUCCUCAAAUAUUACCUGUGUUCCUCUACUCCUUCACAAUUGUCCUAUUUAAUUUUAAAUGUCUCCUUUAGUAGUGUUUGGUCACGACAAUAGAUAAAUGUCUUUUAAACAUAUUGAUUGCAAAAGAAUGUUAGGGCGUACAAGUGCUAACUACAUUUAUUUCUGAAUAACAUUUUAAAGGAGAUAUUUGCUUAUUAGACAUGAGCAACUUAUAUUAUCAAAAAAGAAUAUUACAAAUCCAAAUGAAAGAGAGAUGCAAUCAUUGGGCAUCAAGUUUUCCUUUAAUACUAUGAAAUUAAAUAGAAACGACUAGUUCAAUUAUGAAAAUCAAUUUUCAAAUGUUAUAUGUACAAGGAAAAAAAUGUUAAGUUAAAAAAAAAAAAACUUCGAUGCCUUUUUUACAUCUUACCUUGAGUGGAACCCAUCCUCCCCAAUCCUCUGAAAUUUCACUGUUUGACAAAUCGAGUACAACUAAUUUUUUUGGAUGAAAGUUGGCUGCUACAAAAUCCGAGGGACAGCCCUUCCAGUGAAGCCAUCUUAAUUCAGGAAGUAAGCUUUGGAAAUCUCCGAUGAAAUUAGCACCAUCCACUUGAAGAAACCUCAAGUUGGUCAUUUUUUUAAACUUUUUGGCUGUGUAUCUCCUUCCCUUACCACAUUUGCCAAGAGAAAGGGCCUCAAUCUUUUCGGUGCCCUGCAAGUUGGAAACAUUAUGGACCAUAAGUUUUGAAUGAUGAGAUGAGACCAAUUGAUGUAAAAUAAAAUGCACUGAUUUCGAUUUUCGUCAUACUACUAUGACGUAGGCUUCUCCCUUUCAUUUUUGUGAAAUGAAAGGUUGUAAUUGCAUAUUAUUUAUCUAAUCUAUGUAAAGAUGAGAAGCUCAAGCGGUUGUUUCCAAACUUUUUCCUCAUCCAACUAUACCCUUCUGUAAUUUGCACCUUCUGAAUUUCCAAAAUUUGGGUCCAUUUGCAGCUACAAUGGAAGGCCUCUCUUCAUGCAUAUACUAAAAUAUAUUUGUCAAAAUUCAUGCCCUUUAUAUGUGAAAUAACACUUCCUUAACUCCUCUCAUAUAUACGCGAACCAAUACAACUCUAACCAUCCAAAUGCAUCUAUCAAACUUGCCAUCAAUAUAAGUAUCAAGAUUAAAGAAUGCCGAUUGUAGAAUUUCCUCACUUUUUUGGCUUACUUUGUUUGCAUUGUCGAUAUCAAAAUGAAAACAAGAAUGUCUUUGCAAAAGAUACGUGUGUGUUUUACGUUCCUUUCUUAUCAUGUGGUCCUUCAAUGAGGGUUUUCCGAUGUUCUAUACAAUGAUCCUUACUUUUCUUUUUAUCACUACAUAUGUUUGAUGCUAUGUUUUCGUCGUAGUCAUCUAAAUUUUGAUCCAUUUUCCCAUGGAUUAAUGAGAUCUUCUGUCUGAAUAGAUUGGGCAUGAAAAUUGAUAAAAUUUGUAUUCUUAAGGAACUACGAAUCUUCUGCAUAUUUCUUUUAUUGUAACCUAAUAUUUUACAAACUCAAAUUUGUUUCUUGUUUUAGGUGACGAAUUGCACAUUGGCGGUUUCAACUUUUCCUUCAAAAAUUUUAUUCUUUCAUAUGAAUCCCUACUCGUUUUUACAUUAAAAGUUUACUGUGUAUUUAUUGUAUUUUUGUCAACAACUUCACAAAUACCAUUUUUUUUUUUAAACUUCUAAGAAAUGUUCUAUUCAGUUAAUUAUGUUUUUCUUCGUGCAAAAAUAUGCUCGCUGAAAAGUAGUGGUAGCAUUUUUUUCAAUAGUUUUGGCAUAUCAUUAUGUUUUGCAUCCCAUGUUUAUGUUUAUUUUUUGUUAAUUAACGGUUUUCGUGACAUUUGCACAUGCUUGUUUGAUGCUUGUACAAAUUUUCCAUAUGUUAUAAUUGCUUUUAGUGGAUUCCCUUUUAACUUUCACGCUGAUAAAGAAAAUUUAUCAUCACACAAAAUUCAAAACCAUAUAUACUUCGGUUAAUAAUAGCAAAAGUCCCAAACCGAUAGAUUUGUUCGGCAUUUACCCCACACUAAUUUUAAUGUCACAAAAAAGUUCCAAACUGAUAGACCCGUGUCACAUUUACCUCAAAUUAGUUUUCAUUUCACAAAAAUAAGAUAAUGUUUCUAAUGUUAACUAAAUCUUUGCUAAAUAAGAUGCUCACCAGGAAUCGAACAAUAAACAAAUUAUUAUUAUAACAUGAUAGCCUACAUUUAGCAAAUAAAUAAUAUUGGGAGAUUAAUCAAAAAAUCAUCCAUCAUCACAAAAAGAAAAGGUAUUACUAGAUUCAUAGAAAUAAACUGUCCAUUAUCAUGAAAAGUAUAUACAAUGAAAAUAAUAUAUGUUUAAAGGUUUAAAUUAUGCAGUUAAUUAUCCUACAUCAGCAAAUUGACGGUGCCAACUGACGAUUGACCACAAAUGACUCAAUUGCACGAAAAAGUGAAAGUUAGAAGACUAUACUGAGCAAAAGCAAAAAAUAAAUGGGGGACUAAAUUGCACAACCAAUAAUAUUUAGGGGUUAAACUUACCCCAACUUAAAUAAUACAGGAAACAAGAUAGCUAAAUCGUCACAGAUGAUUGGAGGUAUCAUUUAUCAUACCAAACAAUUCAUAAGAAGUCAAUACUACGUGAAAGAAAAAAAAUAAUUAAAAAUAGGACUCGCGGGAAACCAAAUGACGGAUCCAAACAUCAAAAUGUGCAUCAAACAAAUAUGUGGGGAGAGCAUGGCUGCAACAAUUUAUAAAUGUCAGGUUUUCUCGAAAAGUAAUUUGUCAAACAUUCUGCUUUUGUUGUUUUGCUGUUGCAUUAAAGUUACCAAGAGGAGAGUAUCCCCAACAAUAUACUACCGGGCAAAGAUAUAUAUCCUUUAUCCGUAACCAAGAAAUUGAUCCUCAAUUAUGUUCCGAAAUCAGGCAAAAAUAGCAAUUAAUCAAAAUAGCCCUUUUCCAAGUAGAAUCAGUUAAUUUUGGGGAGUCAAGAUUGACGAGUAUAUUUAUUUCAAACAAGAAAGGGGAGAUGAAAUCACAUUCACUUUCUACUAUGAGUAGAUAAAACUCUUACCUUGUUUCCAUCAAUUACAUCUGCGGCCUCCUCAGAAUUCCAUAAUCUACUCCGCUUUUGAGGCUCCUUUGGAUUUUCCAAACGAACAAUUUCCCUUCCAAGAUCUCUCAAUUGAUCAUGCAUCAUCAGUCUUUCGUAUUUGUCAAUUUUAAUUAAGGACAUAAGACUCAAUACUUCAAUCCCCCUCCCCGGGAAAAAACUACUGGCAUCCCACAUGUAAGUUGGAUUUUGUUGAUGUGAUUCGAUGAAAAAGCAUGCAAUAUCCAAAAAUAUUUGUUGUUCCUCAUCAUCUAAUGCUUUGUAACUUAUUUUCAACUUCUCUUGCACUUUCUUUAAUUUCUUUAACGUAUCUUUCCAUACUUCUUCUCUCUUUCCAUAUAAGAAUGAACCAAUAACUUCAAGAGCUAAUGCAAGAGCUAAUGGAAGCCCUCCAGUAGUAGAUUCAAUAUAAUGAGAGAUAAUCUCACAGUCACUCGAAGGAGAAUCCUAUAAUGUAUCUUUCCAUACUUUUUCAUUUGAUUAACAAUACUUGUUGCCCUAGAUUAUCAAAGAAAAAUUUACAAUAGUGAGCAUAUAAUUCAAGAGGAUAUGUAUCAGUCUCAUGGUUUUUAUGUAAGUUUUUUGCAUCGUUUUUAUUAGCUCAUUUACAAAUUUAAAUUGUGUUUACCUACGACUUUUUUCAAAUAAGACAGGUGGUUUAUGAGUUUUACAUUAUAUCAAAAUAGGUCUUACAUUUCAAUCUCUUUGUCCUUAUAUUUGCUAUUUUAAUUAUUAUAUGAUUGGACUUAAAGCUUCAACAUAAGACCCCAUCCCAUUCCCAUCCUAUAAGAAAGAGAUGUGUUGUAGAAAUUAUCUCAAAUAAAUGAAAAUUUUUAAAUAUAUUGACAAUGAUCUUGUAAUGCUUCAUGCUAGCAAUUGUUAUUAGUAGUAAAACAACAUUUUUGUUUGUCAAUGAUAGAUAACAUUAAUAGAUUAAAAAUAAAAACUUGCACCUUUAAAAUUAGAAAAUGACUUUGAUUUAAGGAGAACUAUAAUAGAGAGAGAGAACUUCAAACUAUAUCUAUUAUAGCACAAAUAUCCCAAAAACAAAUAAAUUAUAUCAACAAAAACUUUAAACUUAUCUAUCGUAAUAAAAAUAUACUCAAUUUUUUUACGUCGCGAAAAAACUCAAGCUUAUAUAUGUAUGAUAUGUACACCCUCUAUUUUAAUUACAUCCACAAUAUAUUUAUCACACGGGUCAUAGUGGGCAAAUCAAAGAUUUUUAGUAACCCCCAGUGGUCACCAUUCUAAUAUGGAAGGGGGAGGUGAGGGGUUCAAAUCCCCACAUUCUCAGGGAGAUGGGGGUGGGAACGCGUAAGUUUCAGGAGUGGAUUUCGACUCCCACGCCCUGCAAGAGGCAGGGUAUAAGUCUGAGAGUGAGUGUAGAGUAGAAAUAUAGUAGGACUGACAAAAAAAAAAAGAUUUUUAGUAACACAUAAAAAAAUUCAGGAUAUUUGUAUUGUGAAAUGUCCGCUUUGCUCCCUCGAGCUAAAGGACACUAGAGACCCCCCUCCGUUUGAAGAUUAGCCUCUCCCUUUUCAUUUUUCUUUUGUCCUUUUCUGUCUAUUGGUCGAUCUGAAAGGCCAAAAAGUCAGCUCUGCGCCCCAUUAAUCAAUCCGGAAUUUGUCCGACCAAAAAAAGGAAGAAAGGGAAGAACUUAAAAAAAUGAAGAAGCAGACGUAAAGCGGGUGGCAGGGAAAUGAUAUUUCGAGAAGCAUCGGAGACGUCGAUGCACGCACGAACAGCGGGGCCCCCACGCGUGCGUAAGCACCUUUUCUGUUCCCUUGCUGUGGACGCCACGCCAGGUCGAAAGAUUGGGGGGGAUUCAUACGAUGAAUUUGGGAAUCAAGGGGGUGGGGCCUACUCCCCUUGGCCCUUUUCUGUCCCGUUCCCAUGCAAGGUCCAUUGCACAUUCAUUCAAAGGCGUUCAUAUUAUAGCCAGCAAAAAGGUGGAACGAGACUACUCAUCAUUAGGUCGUCUCGGAAAAAGACAGAAAGAAGAAAACGGGGUUAGGAUCAAUGAAUUCUUCCUUGACGUGCAAGUGGGGAUUGACAACGAAGCCUGGAACUUGACGAGCGGAAGGAGGGGCUUGCACGCGCGAAGGACAACUGGGACGGAACCGGAUUCCAAUACCGUGUUUAGGAAUUAGAGGCUGCUCCUUCCCAUUGGAUCAGGCUUUUGUGACGAAUGAAGGGACUUGCGUAGGCGAAAGGAACUGAAACAGGACCGGAUUCCGAUACCAUGUUAAAAAUUGGAGGCUUCCUUUACUUUGGAUUGGGAUUUUGUCGACACGGACUCCGACAGCUUUAACACCUCUCUUUGGCGGGCUGAUUCCAUAAAAAAGCAUCAACUUUAGGUUGAUAGACAAAUUUGGCCAAAACUUUUUUUUUUGUCUCAUAAAAAAGCACAAACUUUAGGUUAAGGGACAAAUUUGACCUGAAUUUUUUUUUUUUAUCUCGUAAAAAAAACAUCAACUUUUGGUUAAGUGACAAUUUGACCCCAAUAUUUUUUUGUCUAGUAAAAAAUCAUAAACUUUCAGUUUUAUUCAAAAUCUAACCCCUACCAAUAACUUUCUAUUUGAAGUUAACCUUAUUUUAGGAGAAAAGAUUCUAGCCGUGAGGUUAGUGGAUCUCAUUCAUGAUUUCUCUUGACAGAUAGUGAUCUACAAUUUCAUAUUACGACAAAACGAUAAAGUCUAGCAAGAGAAAUUCAAUCUAGAGAUUUUUUCACUUGCUAGUGAAGUAUAAGAGAUGACAUAAUUUCACCAUUAUUCUUCAAGAUGUGGCUCACACAAGAAGAUAAUGGAUGGUGUUGGCUAGCAAGUGCACAUAGAUUUAUUGGUAAGGACAAUCAAUAAAUCUAAGUUAAAAGGGGUCAAAUUUAGGAUUUAAGUGAAAGUUGGUUAUUUUUUUUCGAAACACAAAAAUAUUUGGGCUAGAAUUGCCACUCAACCUAAAGUUGGUAUUUUUUUACGUGACAAAAAAAAGUUUGGGCCAGAUUUGUCACUCAACCUAAAAUUGGUGUAUUUUUACGAGAUUAAAAAAAAAAGUUUAGGCUAGAUUUGUCCAUCAACCUAAAAUUAGUGCUUUUUUUUGGAAUUAACCCCUCUGUUGGGUGGCUAGCUAGUAGCCUUGCUUCGCUUCUCGUCGGUGAAUGAUGAUCAUUGUCUUAAUCGAUGGAGCGAUUGAUCGAUCGAGAUGCAAUGCUCAUUGAUCAACCAGAUGCAAUGCUCAUUGAUCAACCGUGCAAAGAUCUCCAAGCCAUUUGUUCCCAAACCCAAUAGCAGACAAAAGGGAGACGUUCCUGAAUUCAGACCGUACUCUUCUUUUUUUGUUUGAGCUGCUCUAUUACGCGCUAUAUACAUAAACCCUUAGUAUGAAAUUGGGGUUUUUGAUGGUGUUGGGUUGAGAUAUUUUCUCUUUAUUUUCAUCGCAUGCAUUCACUUGAAUCCAACAUACUUGUUUCUACACCCGGAAAGAAAAAAUAGUCGAUUCUACGUUUGUGAAAAUAAAUCCAAGGGUCAGUAUAAAUCAAAUAUUUAUAUAUAUCAUAGGUCUUUAUAAAAAAUACAUCAUCCGGUUUUCUUACCAAAGACAAAAUUGUACUUCAAAAGUAAAUGGAAUCUUUUACUCGUUAAAUCACAAUUAUUUUUUAAUCUUUGAACACUUGCUUUAUUUUUUGCCAAAUAUUAAGCUCAUUUUCCUAAAUAGACUGAACAUUCAAAAACUUAUAGUGCGUUUCGUUUGACUUUACAAAUGAGUUUUAAAUGUAAUGCAAAUGUUAAAAAUCGAAAUCCUUUAGAGAAAUACAAAUUGCGUUUGAUAAAGCCCCUUGUAAAGCAACUUUGAUCAUAUUUACCGAUAAUGAAAAAGAAUUCUUAAUACUACUGGUGAUAUAUCCCCACUCAAUUUGUAUUUAGAUAGAUAAUAUAUAAGAUAUUUGCAAAAAUCAGAUAGGCAUUCGUGGGACGCAGUCGUAGGUUCAUCUCCAAGACGACACAUGUCAAAGAACAAAAUGAAUCGAAAACAAUAAUACCCCAUAAUUUAGUUUGACCUCCCCAUUCAUGUUGUGAGGAUUCAACAAAAGGAAUCACGUCAAUUUCACGCACAAACACACGCAUAUAUACAUAUAUUCCAACCUAAAAAGGGAAAAAAGAGCAAAAAGACAUGCAAAUCAUUACCUUUUCCCAAAUUAUCAGAGACGAGUUGGAAGGAAAUUAAAGUACUACCGACAACGUGGCUAAUAGAAAAAAAUAGAAAAGAAAGAUCGACCACAUAUUUUUCUUCUUUAUUUGUAUUUGUCUCCGUACACAUCUAAAUUUUCUCAAAGUGACCCCUAUGGGACCCUCGAGCCCAUUCCAUGAAUAUACUCAAAACAUUUGUAAUGAUGUUUUUGUGGGGCUGUGGAAGUCAUAUUCUAUUUUUCUUCAGGCAGCAACUAAACGCACCACGGGACAAUCUUUUGCAGUUCAACUACCCAACUUGCUCCGAUUCUCCUACAAAAGGGGCGUUUGGUUUGGCACCGGGAGAGCGUCUCUAGAAAAAUGCAAAGGCUUUAAGGGAUUUUUCAAAAUAUAAAUAACGUUCAAUAAAAUGUAUAUUAAAAAUAAAUUAAGAGGCAACUUUGACUCAAAAAGGGUACGGUGAAAACUACACCUUGUAAAGUAGCUAAUCUUAAAAGAAAUAAUUUAAGAAUUUUUCCUUGAAUUAUUGUCAUUUUGCUGCUUGGGCAGCACGGUGGAAGAUGGGAUCCAUACCUAGCCACACCGAGAUAAAUUUGUUGAACCAAGAUGCCAAGAUUUUUCCAAUGCCUUGAUCUUAAGAAGUCAAUUAAACUUUAACCCAUCUUGGUGCAUUCACGAGUCUUUAAAUGUCAAAGAUGGAGGGUCAAAAGAGCCAUUAUCAUAGGGGGGAAAGAGAAAGGUCAUGAAUUGAAGUUCAUGCAUUUGCAAUUCUUGAUACGUCACGAAAGAAAAAUGUAUGAUUAUGCGUCACGACAGGUUGAUGAUCUUUUACAUCAUCACUACAUCCAAUUAAAUUGUAGCCCUUCAUAUAAAUUUUUGCUUGCCAACUUGGGAAUGUCAGUGCAUGUGCACCGCCUGGUCUAAAAGCUUGUGAUCGGUGAUCACUCUCGAUCAAAGUGGCUAAGUUUUUCCAAUCCCCUAUAAAAACAAAUGCGUCAGCAUCAUGAUGAUCAACUCGGCACCUCAAAUCACGGGUUACAUUUAGUCCCCCCUAAUCCUCAUACAACAAAGGAAAAAGCUGUCCAUCUAUUUCAAAAGUAAAACCAGUCCACUAACUUUGUCCUUAGAGCACGCAAUUCUAGAUGUUCUAAAGCCUCAACAUGGAAACUAUGGGAUAAUGAUAUAGGACCGCGUUGUUUAUAUAAAAGAUAUGGGACUGUAUGGUUAUCAUUUGUGGGUUUUUGGCCCACUGGUAUAGGAAGAUUCUCUUGCUAUAGUAUUAUCAAGUUGUUGGACAAAUUGAAGAUCAUAAUAAUUUAGGCUCGUCUCCAAACAAUGGAUGAAUUGAUCUAAUUUCCAUGAACAAUGUACUACUUCGUUGGAUUUGAUUUAAAGUUAGCCCCGCCUUUAAAGCACGUUGCUAAUCGGCUUGUAAGUUCUAUGUUAUAUAUAUACACACACACAUCAGUCUAAGUAAAGAUCUAAGGAGUUUUAACUUAUUCCAUCGUCUGCAUGUAAUCUUGGCAAGAGGUUGUAUCCAAGUGCUGUCUUCUUCGAAAUGGGGAGAGCAAGGAUUUGAAUUGUGGAUUUAAGAUGAAACGUGAGAAGAAAUUCUUUUAGGAGCUAUUAGGUCAUCGUUAUACGUGACCAAACUUUCGCAUGCAAUUCUCAUCCUUAGUCUAAGGCCUUCUUGUCUCUAGAUAUUAUUCCGGAUUCAGUGCUCUUUAAGUAUAGCCAAGACGGUACGUAACCGUAUCAUGAAGCGUAAUGAUUUGCAUAUUUGAUAAUACAUGUUUUAAACCUACUUUAUCUAAAAACACGAUCAGAUAACUAUUCCUCUUGCAACUAUGAGAGGUUGUCAAAACCUUUUAGAAUUGUAAUGUCCUAUUUUUUCAGUGCUAUAAUUAUUGCUAAAUUGAUUUGAACAAUUAAGCUCUUGGUCUGCAUUAUUGAGUGUCUUCACUUGUGAUCGAGGACCACAUAAUUUGCCAAAACUUUUUGGUUUCAUGUCAAAAUUAAGGUAUGACAAAAUGAAAAUUGAAAAUAUGGAAAAAAAAUUUCCCGAAAAGUCUUAAAUCUAUUAUAUGGUCACUUAUUCAAUUUUAAACUUUCUAAUUUGGUUAAUGAAGUCCUAAAAUUUUUGAUGAUUUUUCAAUGUAGUCCAUUAGACUAAUUUUGAUUGGAAAUCAUUGAAAUGGCAUCUAGUCAAUGCCGAUCAUCCUCAUGGCACAACCGGUGAUAUGACGCGUACAAAUUCAUUACAAAACAUCUUCAUUUUGAGAAUUUUUUUUAACUUUUUAUUUUUAUUUCCUCAUUAUCAUCUUCCUAGAGUGUCGGUGAGGUCGUUUGGGCUUUGCAAUGGCCAACGACAGGUGAGGACCUUUUAAGCCCUUGUUGUCAAAGAGCAAGGGCUUUCAAAUCCUUGCCUAGAUGGUGAGGUCCAAGUUGUGAUAGGCGAAGGUGCUGAGGUGGUUGAAGGAGAGCCAGUCACACUUUGGCAACCUCUUCGGCAGCAUCUGCUUGUUCCUUUGGGUGAAUCCACCCCCGGUGAAGAACUUGAUUUAGAAAUAUGCAAAUCUAAGAGUAUUAAUUCGAAUUUUACCAGAAAUAAGACGACUUGUGAUUGAAUCUCUAGCUCUUUGCAUCUAAAGUGAUCCAUAAUCAAAUUUGUAAGGGUAACCUAAAGGGACUAGUCAUGCUGAUAAAUGAGUGGACUUUCGUGUCUCUUGAAACAUGAUGAUUCAAGUUAUUGAUGAGUUUUUUUGAACAUUUACAAAAAUAAAUGUUCAAGUGUCUAGUUGGAGAAUAGGAUUUGUACACUGUUCGACCAAUCAAUUAUAACUUUCAAUAAGAGAAAAGUCAUGAGAUCCAUAAUAUCAAAUCGGAAAGGCUUUUUAAAAUUCCAUACUAUAUUCCGAGGACCCUCGAGGUUGUUUUUGGCCUCGAAAUUAAUCAAUUUCAUGCAUUAGGACCAUUUUCUAUGUUAGUGCUAUUCUAGGAAAAUGCUUUUGGCGCAUUCGCUAUUUAUUGAGUUAACUUUGAAUUUUAGUUUCUAAUUCGGGUUGAUUAGGAGCAUAUCUAUGAAAGGAAGCAAUCCAUCCUUGCACCCAUUAUCUAUAUUAUAUGGAUCCACUAUGAGGCAACUAACCCCUGAAAGAAAUUCCAACUUAGAAUAUUUUAUAGACCAAAGUCAUCAAAGUCUAGAUUUUGAAAUUCCAACCCCUGAUUAACGUGUUAAUCCAUCCGAGAACACGUUAAUCAGAAGUUUAUCACCACUAAAUUGCAUGAGAUUUUGACUGACGGCUCGUCAAUGACCACUUAAACAGCUCUGAAAUUUCCACACCCGCUUUUUGCCUUGUCGGUUCAAAAGGAACCCGUCUCUGGAAUGCAUAACCCGCGGUUCAAUGCAUAAUCCUCGAUUAACAGUAUGGUCUGUCACCAUCACCAUUUUGAAGAAUAUAAUAAGAUGUCGUAACAAAAUUGGUACACGACCGUUUCAGCCCACCAAAAAGAAAAAUUAAAAAAAUAAAAUAAUGGGAUGGUUGGUUGGUCAAAGGGGUUUGUAAAACGUGGCACUUUGCGAAAUCCAGGUUCAAUGUUGCUCCUUUUAUUAAUUUUAUUAUUAUUUGGAUGAACCUUUAUUAAAUCAAAUUUGGACAAUGAGAUAAUAUAUAGGUUCGGUUCCUUGAAUUUAGGUGGUUAGCCUGGAACACAAAUGUUUAGUGAAGCAAAUUUGUUAGAGGAAAAUUAUCAAGCGAACUAUAACUUCUAAGAUCUAAAUGUUUGGGAGGAAACUCAACAAAAUUAGACAAAAGUACUUUUCGAUAAAUAACUACCCAUUUAAUUUUAAAAAGAUAUUCUUGACAAAGCAUUUGUCGUUGGAAAUAUGAUCAACGAUCUCUUUAAAAAGGAAAAAGAAAAAUGAAACUCCAAAAUAAAAAAGGAUGAUGCUUGGCAUGAAUUGAAAAUUAUAGACGAUAUUUCUAUAUUAUGUUAUAUCACAAGUAAUGAGUGAGCAUUUACACGAGUAGAUCAACUUUGAUAUUUAAAUUGAGUCUUAUAUGUCACAUAAAUGAUCAAACUUGUAAACUAUUAUUAGCAUACGCAGCUUUAUUAAAUAAAAGAAAUGAAGUUACAACUUUUUUAGGGCAAUCAUUGAGUAGCCAAAUAAAGCAAUCGUACAAUUCCGAUAAAAUGGCUGAUCUUGUAUUAUAUAAGAUCGACACUUUGAUGGUUGAAUUAUUCUAAACUAGAUCUUAUUAACAAGUAUCCCAGCGACAUUAGUUAAAGUAUUUAAAAUUAACAAAAACCUAUAUCAACCAAUUCUGAAAAUUGAAGAGGUAUAUAUUUUAAAAAAGGCGACACUCUUUUGAUAGAAAUGUUUAUAUUUUCAAAGCACAAUUGAUGAUCCUUAACAAAUGUCUCCCGUUUUUUUUUUUUUUUGGUUGGAAAUGUCCCCCGUUUGCCAAGCGUUCUCAAGAUGGUGGUUAAUACGAAUUUUCUUUUAAGCAUUGCGAUUUGGAUUUGUUUUAUUUUUCUUAUUUUCUUAGGCAUUAGUCAAUGAAGAUGUUAAUGGGGUUUUAACUUUAAAGACAAGAUUAGCCAAACCACGGCUGGAGUCAGAAUUGAGCUUCGGAGGUUGAAGUCGACACAAAAGCAGUUUUUGUCGUUUAGUGCAGCAAGAGAAGCGUGCGGUGCAGAUGAGCAGGUCAACUUGGACAACUUUUCGAGUGGAUACGAUGGAGUGGUCAAAUUUUGUUCUCCCCAAACACGGACAAGAGCUGUUUCCUGUGAAUGUUCAAUGCACUAGAUACAUCUUGAGCACAGACGUGAAAAAUUGACCAAAAUCAAUUGAUGAGACGGAAGUUUCCUCAGUUAUCGACGUGAUUUAGUCAUUUCUUUAAAUAUUAAUUUUAAUUCGGGAGAAAUUUGGAAUGACGGUAAUUCCAUGCAAUGUUGAAGGAGUCUUUUUAUCAACCCAUAAGAGUUUAAUCAAGGACUUUUAUUUGGUACUCAAUCUUUUAAUUGGAUGAUAGCCAUGAGAUGGGCUUGCAUAAAAUGAACCAGUUACCACAAGAAUAUGCAAUCCGAUAAAAAAGACGACCAUCCCAUAACUUAACUUUGUAUUAUUCACACUGUCCUUUUGAAUGGAUAAACUGAAAAUGCUCGAAUUUGAGAGGAUCGCUAUUAGUUUUAUGGUCUUUGCUUAGGUUUUUGCAUUUUUUUUUUCAUUGGCUAAUUUAAAUACUUUAAUUGCCCAACCGUUUACACUUUUUUGAUAAAAUAAAAGGUCUGUGAUUUUUCAGGAUAUACCAAAAGAGGAAGUCUAACAUUUAGAUCUCCCCGUUCCUUUUUAUUUGCUUCAUUAACUACAAGACGAUCGGACAUUAAACUUCAAUACAAGACCAUAUCCCAUUUCCAAACUAUAUGCGAGAGACAAAUUCGAGAAUUCACAUUAUUUUUUAUAAUUUGAUAGCAAUCCUCUAAUGCUCCAAGCUAGCAACUGUUAUUAGUAAAACAAUCCUUUCUCUUUUUAAAUCAAGGAUAGAUAACUUUAGUAGAUAAAAGGGAAAAUGACACAAAUAUAUUAAAUUUUUGCGCAUGAAAAUCACACCCUAGCACUACUACUCUUCCCAUACCUGUCCACAAAUUCGAACUUUAUAUGGCUAAUUAUUUCAUAAUGAAAAUAUAAAUGCCCCGAGUUCAAUACUAUCACAGCUGGUGUGUCAAUAAUAUUGUCCACACUUCUAGUUGAUCAAAGGAAAACUCGAGAUAUUAUAGAUUUCCGGAUAGUUAAGUCUUUCAUUUGUGAAGAUAUGUCAUUAGGCUGCAAAUAAGUGAAGAUAAAUUCGUCUUCUUUGGCACCCAAAUUGCAAUUCAAAUUUGUUAAGUGAAGGAUUAAAUUCAUUGGAUUUCUUAGCUACAAUGCCCACUUUAUCAUGUGUAUCUAACAUCACGCCCAAAUACAUUUCUCAGUGCAACAUGUACCAUGUUUAAUGAACAAAACUUAGAAAAAGUAAAAAGAAUGAUAUAUACGUGAUUAGUGAGGACCCACUGAUCGAAUGAUUCAUAUAUUUUAGUUGUCCACUAGAUUUAUGUAGCAUAUAACUAAUAAAAAUUAUCCAAAACGACAAUACUCCAUUCAGGUUGUGAGGAAUCAAUGAGACGAAUCACAUCAAUUUGACGAAAAAGAACAGGAAAUUUCCAAUCGAAAAGGGCAAAAGAGCAAAGUGACCUGCAAAUGGGUAGCUUUUUUUCCAAAUUAUCAAAUGCCAAGUUGUUAGGAAAAUAAAGCACUACCGACAAUGUGGCCAAUAGGAAAAGAGAGAGAGAGAGAGAGAGAGAGAGAGAGAGAGAGAGAGAGAGAGAGAGAGAGAAAAGAAAAGAUCAACAACAUAAUUUUCUUGAUUUUUAUUUGCCCCCAUAGACAUCUAAAUUUUCUCAAAUUAUCCCCUACGGGACCCUCAGGCCCAUCCCAUGAAUAUUCACAAACAUCAAGAAUGAUGUUUGGUGGUGGUACUGUGCGGUCAUAUUCUUCCGAUUCAGACAGAACAGCAACUAGCAUGCACCAACAAGGAGACAAUCUUUUGUAGUUCCCCUACUCAACUUGCUCCUGUUCUUCUAGAACGUGGCCGAUCUCCAAAAGAACUAUAACAGCACAAGAUAGCACGACAGACGAUGGGUUCCAUACUAAGCCACCUCAAGAUAAAUUUCUUGGGACCAAGAUCCAAGAUUUUCCAAUGUUUUGGUUAAUUCAGGAAGUAGAAUUCAGUCGACCAAUCUCGUUGGAUUUACAGGUCUUAGAUGUGGGCAUCAAGGUCACGCAGAAAUGUUAAGGAAAGGAAGAGGCAACAUUAGGGUUUUGGGGUUUGUCAAAGAUGGAGGGUUCAAAAGAGCUGACAUUGUCAGGGGAGGGGGAACGGAACAAGGGUCACGGAUGUAAAGUGCAUGCAUCUGCAAUUCUUGAUACAACAAGAAAAGAAAAAUGCAUUAUGUGCAUUCAACGAUAGGGCAUUUGUCAUGAAAUGCAGGUGAUUUUUGAAGAUGUCCAUGAGUAUGGGCUAGAGUCAGAGAAACCCUCCUCACCAUAGCCCAAGUUGAGCCCUUUUUUUUUGGGAGGGGAGAGCAUAAUUCCCAGUCGAGCCUUCGUUCUAACGGAGAAAGGUGAGAAUUCUGACCACAUCCGCAUCAUUGAAAUAAUUAACGAUUAAUAAUAUGAUUCAUUUAUCAAGAUAAAAAAUUGGGUACAUAUCAAUGUGUAAAUUUCACUCGGGUAAUAAUUUUUCUUCAUGUCGUGAGUAUAUCCAAUGAAAGUCCAGAAGACUUUGCUCUAGCCUUUAAUUGAUUGAUCAACACCAGCUGUAAAACAAUUUUUUUACCACUAGACAAAUUGUAGACCUUAAUUACCAAGCAACGCGUGAUGGGCGAUCAUUCUCGAUCAAAGUGCUUAUUUUCUUCCAGUCAGCAUCUCCACAAAAAUACAAUGCGUCAGCAUCGUGUUGAUCGACUUGGCACCUCGAUUCUCGAAUCAUGGGUUACAUUCAGUCCCCUCUACUCCUCAGACAAUAAAGCAAAUGCUGUCGACUUAUUACAACCAGUCCACCCGACUUUGUCCUUGGAACACGCAAAUCUUGACGUUUUAUAGCCUCAACAUGGCAACUACGCGAUAAAGAUGUAGGAUCAAGUAGGUUAUCAUUGUGGAUUUUUGCCCACAGAAGAUUCUACACCUAAAUUACACUCAAGUUGAUGGACUAUUGAAGAUCAUAACAAUUCAUGCUAGUCUCAAAAAGGUGGAUCGAUUGAUCUAAUUUUCAUGAGCUGAAUUGAGCUUUGGUUGAUUUGAUUUAAAGUUCUAAUUGACCAUUUAUGAGUUUUGAAAUCAAAUUAAUCUUACCCCACAUUAAAAGCACGUCACUCACUGAUCUCAAAGUUCUAUGUUAUAUUUCACCAUUCUAAGUAAAAAUUUAAGGAAGAGUCUAAUUUAUCCUGACGUCUACAUGUAAUCUUGGCCAAGAGGUUGUUGCCCGAGUGGUAUUUUCUUUGAAUUGGGGGUGAUCAAGGAAUUGAAUAGUGGAUUUCAAGAUGGUGCAUGAGAAGGAAUUCUUUUAGGAGCCAUUAGGUCAUUGUUAUAUGUAUCAAAAUCUUUGUGUACAUCUUCAUUUUCAUCCUAAGGUCUUUUUGUGUCUCUAGAUGUUAUCUUGUAUUCAAUGUUCAUUAGGUUGUAUAACUAUGACUGUGUUUAACUAUAUCAUGAAGUGUUAUGAUUUGCAUAUUUUAUAACAAAUGGUUUAAUACACAUAUUUAUUUGAACAGCCAAGGUGUAGAAGAGCAAUUAGCGUGGCUAUCUUUGUUCAGUGAUAUCAAGACGGUUUUAUGCCCAUUUUAGAAUGUUUGGAUUUCAUACCGACUUGGUUUGGAAAGAUGCAAAACUUAGAAUAUUAAUUAAAAUUUUACCAAAUAUAAGAGGAGGUUGUGAAUAAAUCUCAAGUACUUUGUAUUUAGAAUGAUUAAGUACCAACUUUGUCAAAAGUUGAAGAAAAGUAAAAUCGACCUAAAGGAAAGUGGAAUUUGCACGCCUCUAAAGCGUGAUGUUACAGGUUGUUAAUUGGUUUUUCGAGCUUUCAGAAAGAUAGAUAUCAUUGAGUUUGCAAAUGCAAUUUGCACAUUGUUCAACUAGGGAAUAUGACAUUUGAUUAGAGAAGACUUAGGAGAUCCACAUUAUCAAUCCACAAAACUCCUUCGGACUUCUAUAUUAUGGCCUCGAGGGGAUCUUUUGAGGUCAUUUUUGGCCGUAAAAUCAAUCAAUUUCUUGUUAUUUCACGACUAGUUGUUCAUUUUCGGGCUAUUUUUAGGCAAAGGUUUUUGCUGUGUAUUCAAUCAAUUUCGAAUUUUAAUUUCUAUAUAAUUACUAGACUGUCGAUGAAAGGAAGCGAUCCAUCCAUGCAUCCACUUUGUACAUUAUACCGUAUCUGUCAUCAGGCAACUAAAGCAAUACCGACUUGGAUUAUCUUUUAAACCAAAGUCAUAAAAGUUUAGAUGGAUAUACUACGUUAAUCAGAAGUUUAUGCGAAGAUUAAUGACGAAUCCACGACUCAUCAUCGUCGUCAUCAUUAUCAUCUCUUCCUCCUCAAAGUCUACUGAAUAAUGCUGUCAAAUUUCCACUUCCGCUUUUGCCCGGUUGACAAAUUGCUACGCAUGGUUCAAUGCAUAAUCCUCGAUUGAGAGUCCUGAAUGAACCUAUCCAAUUUAAAAAGGGAGCUAAUGGGUUUGUCACCAUCUCCAAUUUUUUGAAGAAUAUAAUAAGAUGUUGUGACAAAAUCGGCACACGACAGUUUCCGUCUACCAAAAAAGAAAAUUUUAAAAAUAAUGGGAUGGUAGAUUAAUCAAAGGUUUUGUUUAAACAUGGUAAUUUACGGAAUCCAGGUUCAAUGUCGUUCCUUUUUCUUUAAACUUUAGUAUUUGGACGACCCUUUAUUGAUUCGAAUUUGGACAACUAGAUAAGAUAUGUAUGUUCGAUUCCUUGAAUCUAGGGUUAGCCUGCAUAAACAAAUGCAGAUUGCCCAUGAUCCUGUGGACAUUUAGCUUGAAGGAUUUCUCUUCCAUUCCCAUGGAAUGUUCAUUGCACCGGCAUCUCUUUUUAUGGUUUGCGUUGUAUUCAUGUGGAGAUAGAAACGAAUGUUGGUGGGAGUUGGUAAGUUGACAAUUGGACUUCUCUUUUGGAGGGCUUGUCGCGGACGGUCGAAUAGCAACUCGAUUACAUUCCAUUUUCACAUAGAAUUUGAUAUUAAAUAUAAAGAUAUUUUACUAAUUGAGACAUCAUAAAUAUAUAUUCUAUAUACGUACAUAUGAUCCUGUGGUUGAUCAUUAUGGAUGCAUUUGAACGAAUAGACUUUCAUAUCGAAAAGAACAAAACCAGAUAAGAUAAAAUUUUCUGUGUCACAUAUGAUUUUUGAUAAAUAGAUACAACAAUGCAUAUAGAUGUAAACUACCUUGCAUCCGUGAGAUCAAAUUAAGCAGAUAAACAAGCUGACGUGAUUCAAAGAAAGAAAGAUCUCGUGAGACCGACACUAUUCAUUGAACUAUGGUCAAGCCACAGAUGAACUGCCUGGCAUCUGUGCGACUGUCCCAAGGUGGUUGCUUGAGGACAUGACGAGGUGAUCAUGAUUUUCUAAAUUGAGAAUCCGCCGCUUGCACACCAAGAAACAUUAACCUAUUUAUAUAACUUUUAUUUCUUACUUUUCACAAUAUCCAAAUCUUAAAACUCACAUACUUUCGACUUCUUUUCAGGAGAAAAAAAACCCCAAAUGGCUAAAACUUUCAUGGCAGUCAAAUUGUAACAUGUAGAUUCACUAAUGAGUUUAUUCAUAAUUUUCUGAAAUUUAAAUAAUAUUUUUAAGUUUCGGCGCAAAAGUAUGGUGUUCCAAAUCUCCCCACCUGUUGAGGUAAAGGAUCGGCCCAUUUUUUUUUUUCUGAGAGGAUGUAGCUCCUCUUUGUAUUAGUGUUUCUAAAUGGGUUUACAAUUGAUGGUAUAUAACGUGGUGGAAUUCCCCUUUUUCUCACGGACUGAACUCAAUGCGAAAAACAAGAAGAGUUAAAUGAGAAUUCCGUGAGCAAUGAUCGCAUCAUGGGAUGCGGCGCACAAGGCCCAUUACGGCCCAUGGUAACGGCACAGCCCGUUCCGUCGGCUAUUCUAAAACUCAGAAUAUGCAAUAAACUGGCCAAUUACCAUAUCUGACACAAAUUCGUUUCGCAAAAAAAUAUUUUCCGGAAAAAAUUUCUUUAAAUGAUUUCUUCUCUAAAAAUUGGAUAUCAUUUUUCAAUUUACAUAAACUUUUGGACUAGAAACUUUGUGUUUGGACGUAGGAAUUCACUCCUAGGCCCUUGGCAGUGGGACCGGGUCUAUUGAGAGCAAGCUUGGGUCCAUUGAGGCAGGGCCUAGGACCCCGACGCUUGGGCCCCAGUCCAUUGAGGUUGCACCUUGGAUUCCCAUGCUUGUGCCCAUGACCCUGAAGUCCCUGCCCGGGUCCAUCUAAGUCGAGCCUAAGUACAUCAAGGCUAGGCUAGGACCCCCAUUCAUGGACUCAGUCCUCAAUGCCGGCUCCCUGAUUUGUUGAAGCCCAAACACUUAGGAUCGGGUUCUUAAAGCUUGUGCCCGGCUCCCUAAGGCUUGAGCCCUAGUCCAUUGAGGUCAAGCUUGGCUUCUUGGUGCCCACUUUGAGGUCCAUUGAGGUUGGGCUUGGGACCCCGAUGCCUAUGCCUAGGUUCCUAGCACCCUAGCCUGAGUUCAUUGAAAUUGGGCUUGAGACCUUGGUGCCCGUGCUUGGGUCCAUCGAAGCCGAGCCUAGGACCCUGGCGCACGUGUUCGAGCUCCCAAUGCUAGGCCCAAUACUUAAGGCCCCUACUUGGAUCUCCAGUCCAUGAGCUUGGGACCAUCAAUGUUAGGCUCGGGUCUAUGAAGGUUAAGCCUAGGACCCUAGUGCCAUUGCCUGGAUCCUCACCACUACUGUUGGGGUCUUAACCUUGCCUCAAUGGACUCGUGUCCUAUGCACAAGGGACCUCCUUGGCAUCAAGGCUCGAGGACAGCUUCAGUGGACCUAGGCAUGGGUGUCAGGUCGAGCUUCGAUGGACUUGGGCAUGGGUGUUAAGUACCCGGCCUAGGCCUUUUUGAACCAUAAAGCAAUCAAUUUUAUUGCUUGGAGUGGGAAUUCGGAUUAAGCAAUAUGACAUUAUAUAUAAGUGAUCUGAACUGCGAUAUGUUCUAAUCUAGUUAUAAUGGAGAACUUUUAUAGAUAUCAAUUAGUCAAAAUAUUCUGAUCGAUUGCUGGAAUGAUCAAGAAAUUGUAUAGAAUAGAGACUAGAAAAUUUGCGAGAUUGCAGCCCAUGAUCAAAUUGUCCUCCUUAAUCCAAUUAUAAUUGGUUUGAGCAUUAUUGCAUCGCGUUCAUUCCCACCUCAUCCCGCAAUCUGUUUGGGCAACAUCCUAGAGUCUGAGUAAUUUCACUCCCAUCAAAAGAUAAGUACAGGCUUCCUUCGUUUUCGAUCGCAGUCUUGGUCAUCAGCCACUCAAGAAAGUAUUAUACUCAGUCGAAGCAACAAAACUAGUGACUCACUAUACAGUCCAUGUGUAUCAUUCGCAACAUUUACUUCCCACUUUUGUUUGCGCUAAAAAAUCACCUCCUCAACAAAGAAUGGAGAUCUAAGGGGCGACCUCGACCUAAGAUUAUGGCACAAGCCCGACCAAAAUGGCUAAGCGCAAAUAAUCAGAGGUUCUGCGGGAAGAAGGAUCCAUUCCAACACCACCAUGUCCUUUGACUGGGUGAGCCAACACGCUCUUCUCGGUUUGGUGCUCUUUGAGUAGGAAUCGGAUACUCGCUUAUCGUAAUUUUUAAUGACUUUGCUUUGACCCGUCCAUUCUCGAUUACUUGUAACUGCAAUCAAUCUUGAGCAUCACUCUUCAAUGCUGGAUGAUCUUCCAUCAUCUUUGCAGUGUUCAAUACAGGUUCCAACAAUGACAACUACAAUGUCGCGUACGUGUCAAAAGACAACAAUGACAACUGCAACACCGCUUCUCCGUUCACCACCCUAAGCAACAGACUGACGGCCUUUUCUGUCGCUGCAGCUGGCGAGUAUUGCUUGCAUCUACACUUUCCUAAAGGUGUCCAUUGCUCUCGUGGCCAAAAAUUGGUGGUCACCAUCAGUGAAACUUCCAUCGGCCCAACCUCUAGUCCAGCGAGAUCUCUGUCACUACUAGACACAACCACCGGCAACACCACAACUCCACCACCACCUGGAGCCUGGAAGUGAUGCUUCAUCUCUCGAUGUCACACAACAUUGGGAUUUGGCGGCAACUUUUCUCAACAAGGUCAAGCGGCUUUUCCAAAUUUGUCACCUGAGUUCAAAAUCU